UUCAAUGUUGUUCUUAUAUUUUACCUUUGACAGGAGUUGGAAUUAUAUGAUGAAGAAUUAGUCUAUAAACCAGCUAUAUUAGCCGUAAAUAAAUUGGAUACAGACUAUGAUGGAAAUAAAUUUCGUAAACUUAAAGAUCAGCUUGAAGCCCAUUCUAAGGGGGCAAUAAAACUUCUUGAAGAAAUGAGGCCAAAUUCUGUGAUAAACUUUGAUACAAUUGUACCAAUAUCUGCAAAGCGUGGCACCAAUGUGUCUCUUUUAAAAGACAAAAUUAGGUCAAUAAUUGAUAUUAGUCAUGAAGAGGAAAUGAGAAAAAUGUCCAAAGACUGUAGAGUAGUGAAACAAAAUGUAGAUGUUAUAUAUGCAUAAGUAUAUAAAAUUAUUCUUUUAUUGAGUGUA